rnacentral:rRNA from 1 species
AGAAUCAACGCUGGCGGCGUGCCUAACACAUGCAAGUCGAACGAGAAAGUGGAGCAAUCCAUUAGUAAAGUGGCGCACGGGUGAGUAACACGUGACUAACCUACCUUUUAGUGGGGGGAUAACCUAGGGAAACCUGGGCUAAUACCGCAUAAUACCUACGGGUCAAAGCAGCAAUGCGCUGAAAGAGGGGGUCGCGGUCGAUUAGUUAGUUGGCAGGGUAAUGGCCUACCAAGACUGUGAUCGAUAUCCGGCCUGAGAGGGCGCACGGACACACUGGAACUGAAACACGGUCCAGACUCCUACGGGAGGCAGCAGUGGGAAUUUUGCGCAAUGGGGGAAACCCUGACGCAGCAACGCCGCGUGGAGGAUGAAGUCCCUUGGGACGUAAACUCCCUUCGAUCGGGACGAUAAUGACGGUACCGGAAGAAGAAGCCCGGCUAACUUCGCGCCAGCAGCCGC